rnacentral:tRNA from 4 species
GCAGGGAUGAUGUAACUGGCAACAUCUCAGUCUCCAAAACUGAUUUUCUGAGUUCAAAUCUCAGUCCCUGUGCCA